rnacentral:pre_miRNA from 1 species
CUUGUACUCCCUCCGUUCUAAAUUACUCAUCGCAGAAAUGGAUGUAUUUAGAACUAAAAUACAUCUAAAUACAUCCAUACCUGCGACAAGUAAUUCGGAACGAAGGGAGUACAUA